GAGUCAUAAUAUCCCAGCAGCCUCCUCUCCACUGUGUUGAUACCUGAUGUCUGUUGAGUCAUGAUAUCCCAGCAGUCUCCUCUCCACUGUGUUGAUACCUGAUGUCUGUUGAGUCAUGAUAUCCCAGCAGCCUCCUCUCCACUGUGUUGAUACCUGAAGUCUGUUGAGUCAUGAUAUCCCAGCAGUCUCCUCUCCACUGUGUUGAUACCUGAUGUCUGUUGAGUCAUGAUAUCCCAGCAGUCUCUCCUCCACCACUGACAGCUCCCAGAUCCAGUCACCUCUGAAAAGCUGUUAAAUAUUGAAGCACUGUGAUACUUUACCCUCUGCUGCUUUGUAGCUGGGGCUGCUUCCCAAACGGCACUCUAUUCCCUAUAUAGUGCACUACUGUUGACCACGGGCAAAUAGGGCUAGUUGUUGCGCUAUGUAGGGAAUAGAGUGUUGUUUGGGAAGCAGCCCUUGAGGUCACAUGAACAGAUGUAGUUUGUAAUUCAGCUCAUCUCAACAGUAAAUCCACAGCAGGCUCUUUGUGUUGCUAGGAUCAGUCAGGUAGGAGGAGAAAGACAGUGUCUGUUGGUUUGAGUUGGUAGAGUUAGUCAGGUAGGAUGAUAAAGACAGUGUCUGUAGGUAGAGUUAGUCAGGUAGGAUGAUAAAGACAGUGUCUGUAGGUAGAGUUAGUCAGGUAGGAGGAGGAAGACUGUGUCUGUAGGCAGAGUUAGUCAGGUAGGAUGAUAAAGACAGUGUCUGUAGGUAGAGUUAGUCAGGUAGGAGGAGGAAGACUGUGUCUGUAGGCAGAGUUAGUCAGGUAGGAUGAUAAAGACAGUGUCUGUAGGUAGAGUUAGUCAGGUAGGAGGAGGAAGACUGUGUCUGUAGGCAGAGUUAGUCAGGUAGGAUGAUAAAGACAGUGUCAGUAGGUAGAGUUAGUCAGGUAGGAUGAUAAAGACAGUGUCUGUUGGUAGAGUUAGUCAGGUAGGAUGAUAAAGACAGUGUCUGUAGGUAGAGUUAGUCAGGUAGGAUGAUAAAGACAGUGUCUGUUGGUAGAGUUAGUCAGGUAGGAUGAUAAAGACAGUGUCUGUAAGUAGAGUUAGUCAGGUAGGAUGAUAAAGACAGUGUCAGUAGGUAGAGUUAGUCAGGUAGGAGGAGGAAGACUGUGUCUGUAGGCAGAGUUAGUCAGGGAGGAUGAUAAAGACAGUGUCUGUAGGUAGAGUUAGUCAGGUAGGAUGAUAAAGACAGUGUCUGUUGGUUUGAGUUGGUAGAGUUAGUCAGGUAGGAUGAUAAAGACAGUGUCAGUAGGUAGAGUUAGUCAGGUAGGAUGAUAAAGACAGUGUCAGUAGGUAGAGUUAGUCAGGUAGGAUGAUAAAGACAGUGUCAGUAGGUAGAGUUAGUCAGGUAGGAUGAUAAAGACAGUGUCAGUAGGUAGAGUUAGUCAGGUAGGAGGAUAAAGACAGUGUCUGUUGGUUUGAGUUGGUAGAGUUAGUCAGGUAGGAUGAUAAAGACAGUGUCAGUAGGUAGAGUUAGUCAGGUAGGAUGAUAAAGACAGUGUCAGUAGGUAGAGUUAGUCAGGUAGGAUGAUAAAGACAGUGUCUGUAAGUAGAGUUAGUCAGGUAGGAUGAUAAAGACAGUGUCAGUAGGUAGAGUUAGUCAGGUAGGAUGAUAAAGACAGUGUCAGUAGGUAGAGUUAGUCAGGUAGGAUGAUAAAGACAGUGUCAGUAGGUAGAGUUAGUCAGGUAGGAUGAUAAAGACAGUGUCAGUAGGUAGAGUUAGUCAGGUAGGAGGAUAAAGACAGUGUCUGUUGGUUUGAGUUGGUAGAGUUAGUCAGGUAGGAUGAUAAAGACAGUGUCAGUAGGUAGAGUUAGUCAGGUAGGAUGAUAAAGACAGUGUCAGUAGGUAGAGUUAGUCAGGUAGGAUGAUAAAGACAGUGUCUGUAAGUAGAGUUAGUCAGGUAGGAUGAUAAAGACAGUGUCAGUAGGUAGAGUUAGUCAGGUAGGAAGAUAAAGACAGUGUCAGUAGGUAGAGUUAGUCAGGUAGGAUGAUAAAGACAGUGUCAGUAGGUAGAGUUAGUCAGGUAGGAUGAUAAAGACAGUGUCAGUAGGUAGAGUUAGUCAGGUAGGAGGAUAAAGACAGUGUCUGUUGGUUUGAGUUGGUAGAGUUAGUCAGGUAGGAUGAUAAAGACAGUGUCAGUAGGUAGAGUUAGUCAGGUAGGAUGAUAAAGACAGUGUCAGUAGGUAUAGUCAGGUAGGAUGAUAAAGACAGUGUCAGUAGGUAGAGUUAGUCAGGUAGGAGGAGAAAGACCGUGUCAGUAGGUAGAGUUAGUCAGGUAGGAGGGGAGGAAGACAGUGUCAGUAGGUAGCAUGACUAGGUAGAGUUAGUCAGUGUGGCAGAGUACUACUGUGUAUUACCAACCUUCUGUUUGGUUCGAUCUCAAAUGAACGUCAUUGACAUUGUCUUGGGAGUGCUACUGGGCGGUAGUCAUUUAGACAGGUGACCUUGGCUCUCUUGGGCACAGGGACUAUGGUGGUCUGCUUGAAACAUGUAGAUAUUAAAGACUGGGUCGGUAAGACGUUGAAAAUGUCAGAGUACGUGUCCUGGUAAUCCGUCUGGCCCUGCGGCCUUGUGAAUGUUGACCUGUUUAAAGGUCUUACUCACAUCGACUAUGGACAGCGUGAUCACACAGUCUUCCGGGAACAGAUGGUGCUCUCACGCAUGGUUCAGUGUUGCUUGCCUUGAAAGCUGGUAGGCGCAGGACAUAUUCCAGUCUGUACUAGUGAAACAGCCCUGUAGCUCAGGGGCUCUUAUUUCCUGCAAUUAUACACAUUUUUUAUCAUGGGGUGCAAAGAACGUUUUGCAGUUUUAAAGCAAAUUAUUUUAUUUCAAUUCUAUACAUUUUGCCAUGUUUAAUGUGUAUUCAUGUGAUAUUGAGUGACUCAAAACUACAACAAUAUUUAUGGUAAAAAAAAA